UGCAAGUCGAACGGUAACAGGAAACAGCUUGCUGCUUCGCUGACGAGUGGCGGACGGGUGAGUAAUGUCUGGGAAACUGCCUGAUGGAGGGGGAUAACUACUGGAAACGGUAGCUAAUACCGCAUAACGUCGCAAGACCAAAGAGGGGGACCUUCGGACCUCUUGCCAUCGGAUGUGCCCAGAUGGGAUUAGCUAGUAGGUGGGGUAACGGCUCACCUAGGCGACGAUCCCUAGCUGGUCUGAGAGGAUGACCAGCCACACUGGAACUGAGACACGGUCCAGACU
rnacentral:rRNA from 1 species